rnacentral:rRNA from 1 species
UAGUCCACGCCGUAAACGAUGUCAACUAGCCGUUGGGUCCAUAUAAGGGCUGAGUGGCGCAGCUAACGCGAUAAGUUGACCGCCUGGGGAGUACGCCGGCAACGGUAAAACUCAAAGGAAUUGACGGGGGGCCCGCACAAGCGGUGGAGCAUGUGGUUUAAUUCGAUGCAACGCGAAAAACCUUACCUACCCUUGACAUCAUUCGGAACUUGUUAGAGAUAACUCGGUGCCUUUCGGGGAGCCCGAUAGACAGGGUGCUGCAUGGCUGUCGUCAGCUCGAGUCGUGAGAUGUUGGGUUAAGUCCCGCAACGAGCGCAACCCCUAUCCGUUAGUUGCCAUCAUUCAGUUGGGCACUCUAGCGAGACUGCCGGUGAUAAGCCGGAGGAAGGCGGGGAUGACGUCAAGUCCUCAUGGCCCUUAUCGGGCUGGGCUACACACGUGCUACAAUGGCGGUUACAGUGGGCAGCUACACAGCGAUGUGAUGCUAAUCUCCAAAACCGUCUCAGUUC